rnacentral:lncRNA from 1 species
GAUAAUACCUCUGCAAACAAGCCACACCAGAGCCAGAGUAUCUCAUAUCAUCAGGGUUAAAAGCAAGAGUAUCCCAUAUCAUGCUUUUUCCUUGUCUUUUCCUUUGGCCUUGUUGAUGCGAAAAUUAACUUAACACACAAAUUAAACCCUCAUGUUGUCAAUUGUAGUAAAGAAUGUAAGUAGGGAUCGUUCUAGGCUGAGGAUUAUGAGGGAUUGCUAAAACACCUGAAACUGACUUAAAAAUGUAAAAUUAAGUUUAAAACACCAAACUAGACUCAAAAGAUGCAAUACAAACUAAAAAGACUCAAAACAGCUUAAAACAAUGAAUUAGACUCUAAACUGACUCUAGGGAUGGUUUUGGACGAUAUUAGGUUCUAACUUGACUCAAGACACUUAAGAAAACAAAUCAAAACAGAUUUUGACUAAUAAAACACUUUAAAGUAAAGGGGGAUUUGAUUUUGACGAAUUUGAAAACAAAACAAACAGAUUGUAAACUAAAACAGAUUUUGGACGAAUUUGGGUAAACUAUGGAUGAUGGGCUAGCUAGAGGGUUCUUCUCCACACAUGACACACUUGCAUAUAAACCAAUUUUCAGUUGUUCUUUCGAUAAAUCAUGAAACUCAACACCCCAGGUUAAUUAAGUCUGCUUAAAUUAACCUUCAAGUUCUCCUUAAGUUAUUGAAUUGGAUGGGAAAGCGCAUACAACAAUUCAAGCAUUCUUCAAAAGUCCUUGUCGUGAACAGCACAAUAAAGAUACAAUCAAAGAUCAUUAAGCAUGUUACAACAAAGAAAGCAGUUUCUGGAGCUAAUAAGCAUGUUUAAAUAUGAUCUCAUGAAUGGAAUGCUACUACUUAGAUGCGAGAGCCAGUGACACCAUAUGCUCAUACCAAUUUGAACUCCACAAAUUGAAACACACAACACUCAAGACUGAAGUCAAGGGUUGUAAUAUGGCUUGGGGGUAAUGGCUAACAAAGAAAGGAUAGGAAUAACAAACGUUCUUAAAGCGAUAGCAAGCAAAGUAAUGGAAUCGACACUUGGAAUUUACUUUAGAAUACAAAAAUCAACUUUUAAACACAAAGGGAAGAUUCAUGCAACACUUAGGGUCGAAUUCAAUGCUUUGGACCCUUUCUUCAACAAACAACACUUUAGAGCUCUUUCUCAUAAAUUUUUCAACUCUUUUCACAACUUUUCUUCUUUUCAUUCUAUUUUCCACGAAUUUUUUUUCUUUUUCUUUUCCUUUUCUACCCAUGCCUUAUGAAGGACUUUGGCACACACACACACAAGAAUCACUUCCCCCACACUUGUUUUUCUGCAAGAGUUCAACAAAAGGAAUUCCUUCUAAAUUAUGCUUUACUAUGCUCAAGAACAAGGGUAUGGAUAGUGUGGGUAACAAAGAACAUAGGCAACACAAGGCUCAACGGGGUUAAACUUAAACACAUAAUGAACGGGAUAGGCUUUUUGGCUCUUGGCUCACUAAAAAACUUCAUCUUGAAUAUGUGUUAUGCAAAUCAAUAACAUGCUUUGAAUGAAAUAGACAUGAGUUCUAGCAUUUGGAACUAAAUCAUGAAACGCCUUCUAAGUAGUAACCAAGCAAAGAAUAAUGAGAUCAUGCAACAACUUUAGAAAACAAGAAUGCACAGAUUAUUAACUCUCCAAAUAAAUGUUUUAGGCUCAAGUCUCACAAGGUUGUAGCGUUAAUUUGAGUUCCUUCCUUCAAGCAUGUUACAAAACUGAUUUUUCUUUUAUGAUUGCAUGUGAAUUCAUAAAUUUAAACCCCAACCAAGCAUACACCAAAGAGUAAAUCAAAUUUUCAUCCAUGUUUAUAACUCUCUUUAAUAGUCAUGUAAUUAAAAACUAAAUCCCCAUCAUUGUGUUGAAAGUUAUCCUAAGACACAAACAAACACAUAAAAACAACUCUUAUUGGGUUUUUCAAAACAAUUUUUCAAUUUUUUAUGAGAUUUUCGGAUUUUUAUGUCAAAACACACUAAAACACUCCAAAACAGCUUAAAAACACUUAAAACAACAAGGAACAACACUAGAAGUAAUGGGUGAUAAACUCCUACGAAUUUCAUGCAAAACAAUGGUUACCCUCCCCACACUUAGAUCAAACAUUGUCCUUAAUGUUUCAAGCAUAAACUCACACAAAAAUAAGCAACCAAACAAACAACGAAUAAACAUGACAAGUAUAGCAAAGUAAAAACCAGACAGAGUAGAGUUUAAGAACGCAAAUCUGGUUUUGGAGAUAGGUGAUCUUAUGGUCUUUCCACAGCUUUGAUCUCGAACUGGUUCCGAAUUC